UACGGAGGAUCCAAGCGUUAUCCGGAUUUAUUGGGUUUAAAGGGUGCGUAGGCGGAAUAGUAAGUCAGUGGUGAAAACCUGCAGCUUAACUGCAGAACUGCCAUUGAUACUGCUAAUCUUGAGUACAUUUGAUGUGGGCGGAAUGUGUCAUGUAGCGGUGAAAUGCAUAGAUAUGACACAGAACACCGAUUGCGAAGGCAGCUCACAAAACUGUAACUGACGCUGAGGCACGAAAGCGUGGGGAUCGAACAG
rnacentral:rRNA from 1 species